UAAUUUUAAAUCAGAGCUAGUAAUAUGAUUUUCUUAUGGAUUUAAUAUUUUAUAUUGACCCCGCUAUCAAGAUGAGACAUCAUUGAGUGAAGCAUUUUAACAUUCUGUGAAAUCCUACAGGAGAUCAUGGAAGCCAGCAUUACAAUAUACUCUACACAGCUAUGGUUGAUGAAGUGGCCCAAUAUGUGAUGCUUCUGAUGAAGAUGAGAUCACUCAAGUCACCUG